rnacentral:rRNA from 1 species
UACGUAGGGUGCGAGCGUUAAUCGGAAUUACUGGGCGUAAAGCGUGCGCAGGCGGUUGAUUAAGACAGGCGUGAAAUCCCCGGGCUUAACCUGGGAACUGCGCUUGUGACUGGUCAGCUAGAGUACGGCAGAGGGGGGUGGAAUUCCACGUGUAGCAGUGAAAUGCGUAGAGAUGUGGAGGAACACCGAUGGCGAAGGCAGCCCCCUGGGCCGAUACUGACGCUCAUGCACGAAAGCGUGGGUAGCAAACAGGAUUAGAAACCCUCGUAGUCC